rnacentral:rRNA from 1 species
CCAGACUCCUACGGGAGGCAGCAGUGGGGAAUAUUGCACAAUGGGCGAAAGCCUGAUGCAGCAACGCCGCGUGAAGGAAGAAGGGUUUCGGCUCGUAAACUUCUAUCAACAGGGACGAAAGAAAUGACGGUACCUGACUAAGAAGCCCCGGCUAACUACGUGCCAGCAGCCGCGGUAAUACGUAGGGGGCAAGCGUUAUCCGGAUUUACUGGGUGUAGAGGGAGCGUAGACGGCAAUGCAAGCCAGAUGUGAAAGCCCGGGGCUCAACCCCGGGACUGCAUUUGGAACUGUGUAGCUGGAGUGUCGGAGAGGCAGGCGGAAUUCCUAGUGUAGCGGUGAAAUGCGUAGAUAUUAGGAGGAACGCCAGUGGCGAAGGCGGCCUGCUGGACCGCGACUGACGUUGAGGCUCGAAAGCGUGGGGAGCGAACAGGAUUAGAUACCCUGGUA